rnacentral:rRNA from 1 species
GAUCCUGGCUCAGGAUAAACGCUAGCGGCAGGCCUAACACAUGCAAGUCGAGGGGCAGCGGAUAGAGUACUUCGGUACUCUUGCCGGCGACCGGCGGACGGGUGCGUAACGCGUAUGCAACCUGCCUUCAACAGGGGGAUAAUCCGAAGAAAUUUGGUCUAAUACCCCAUAAUAUUCCGACAGGCAUCUGUCGGAGUUAGAAAGCUUCGGGUGGGUUGGAGAGUGGGCAUGCGUUGUAUUAGCUAGAUGGG